rnacentral:lncRNA from 9 species
CACCCGCACCCCCGUCAGUAAACACUUACUUCCAUGUCUAACGCUCAACCCUUAAACCUACACAGGGAGCUUGAGACUACCAGCUACGAAGGCAAGUCACAUCAUUCACAUUCUAGUCUAAUUUUGAUCCAGCUAGACUUCUCUGCAGGUACCUCAUUCUCUACCAACCCUGGCCCCUCCACCCACAUGGCACCACUUCUCUGCUACAACACGGCCUUGCUCUGUUGGCCUCAGCCUGACUUUGGACUCUGUCCCACCUCUCUUACCUCCAGUAGAAUUGGAUGCUGUUGGUCUUGGCAACAACCUUGAGGAUACACUUGUUCCUCUACCAGCACUAAUUAGUUCCUGAAUAAACAGCAAGAGAGCCUCAGGACAGACCCACAUGCAGGACUUUCAGACUGGCUGGAAAAUGUCAAGACGUAAUGAAACUUCUGCUCUGAAUCACGUCUGGAGAAUGAAAUGUUAGAGAGAGCCAAAUCCUGAAACACAUGAGAAAAAUAGGAGAAUGGAGCACAGUUCUCCUCGGAGUUUCCGCGUCUUUGCAACAUCAUUGGGAGGGGAGAAAAACGUGUGUGGAUGGGCAGGGCCAGGAGGCAGCUUAGUUAAACCUCCCUUUGCUAUGGGCUUUGCUCUGUGAGGGCUGCAGAAGCCUGUGGUAUUGAUGCAAGUUUCAUGUCUGUGGAUGGUUCAGAAAAGGUAAAAAUGUUGAAGAUUCCUCUGAAAUGUGCAACGCCUGAUAUGGGACAGGAAGUUACUGCCACACAGGUUGCCUGGGGUUAGGGCUCAUCUCAAACACACUUCUCAUUGGAGAAGCUGCAGCCCAGAGUGGGGAGAAGCCUUGCUGAGUACAUAGAGCACGUUAGUAGCCAGGGAUUCAGAGCCUUGAACCCUGUUUCCCUGACUCCCAGGUGACUGCUCUUUCUGCUGUGGCUCAACAACAGAGGGACUGUGGGUUUAGGAAACACAAGCUAUUUUCUUUCUUAGCUGUUUCCCCUUCCCUCCUUACACAUGUCCUUGGCAGAGAGGAGGCAAAUGGAGAAGUUCACGAUCAGCCCUGAGGUCACAGCUUGUCAGUGCAGUGGACAAGGACAAGCUCAGAAGCUGGGGACAAAUAACCUGGAGUCAAGUCCAGGUUCUUCCACUUGUUUGCUCCUGACUCUGGGCACAUUAUGUAACUUUCUGACUUGAGCCUCUCAUCUGUGAAGUGGGGUUGGUAAACCUGAACUUGCAGACAAUGUAUGGGGAUUAAAUGAGAU